AGCAGCCGCGGUAAUUCCAGCUCCAAUAGCGUAUAUUAAAGUUGUUGCAGUUAAAAAGCUCGUAGUUGAAUUUCGGGAUCAGUACGCUGGUCAUGCCUUUGGUAUGCACUGGUGUCACUGGUUUCUCCCUUCUGAAGAUCCGUGAUGUCAUUAAUUUGGUGUCGCGGGGAAUCAGGACUGUUACUUUGAAAAAAUUAGAGUGUUUAAAGCAGGCUCACGCUUGAAUACAUUAGCAUGGAAUAAUGAAAUAGGACGUUUGACCCUAUUUUGUUGGUUUCUAGGAUCGACGUAAUGAUUAAUAGGGAUAGUUGGGGGCAUUAGUAUUCAAUUGUCAGAGGUGAAAUUCUUGGAUUUAUUGAAGACUAACUACUGCGAAAGCAUUUGCCAAGGAUGUUUUCAUUAAUCAAGAACGAAAGUUAGGGGAUCGAAGACGAUCAGAUACCGUCGUAGUCUUAACCAUAAACUAUGCCGACUAGGGAUCGGAUGAUGUUAAUUUUAUAAUGACUC
rnacentral:rRNA from 1 species